UUCUGGGAUUGUUUUCUCUUUCAGAAAGCGCUACUGCGGAGUGAACCGGUCCUUAUAUCUUAGUUUUGUGACUUUGGGGGCGGCAGGCCUGUGAGUUGUUUUCCGCCCUGGACGCUGUUUUGCAAAGAUCUCUGCGCGCCCACCGCCACCCUCCCGGGCGUGCGGGCCGGGAAGCAGCCAGCGGUGGGAAACUCCGACGCCCUCCUCGACACUUUUCUCCCCCCAACUCCCCAAGACUCACUUCUAGGGAAGUCCUUUUUCCCAUCAAGCCCUGGGAAAGACUGGCCAGGCUGAGAGAGGGACCCGUCCUCCUCUGUGCCAAAGGCGGGAGCAAAUCCUGGUGCUGUCGCCUUUGGAUGUGAGUCCUGGAAAUGGCGGGGGUGAGGAAGGUGGGCAGGGGCAAGAUUUGGCCCUCAGGCGAGAACCGACGCCUUGUCCCGGAAGCGCAGCACGGCUGAGUGCGUCCGGGGGUGCAGACGGCGCUCUGGGGUGGUCCUGCCGCCACCUCUCCUUUGACUCAGGAGCGCCGCGCCGCGUCCGGGCGCGUUCUCAGUCGCGCGAAGCCAGAGAGGACCCUGGGCGUGAUUCUCCCUCCCUGGCACAGACGGAGACCCGAGUGACCCCGGGGUCCGGGUGGGCGUGGGGAAUGGACCCAUAGACCCGGGACGAGCGGCGCGGAGCCCGCAGCUGGCCAGCUUCAGCCACCUUGGGAGACGCAGUGCAGCUGCCGCUGCUGACAGAUAAGACCAAGGCUCGGCUGGGCCCCACCCCAGAUCCGGCCUGAGCGACUUCCGCGCUGCUCGGUCUCAAGGCGAAACUUUUCGCGCAGAAACUCUUGGAGAACAGCCCCGGUCGCCAGGUACUCGCCCGCCCGGACCGCAAAGCCCACAGAGCUUCAAUUCGCAGGAAGGGGAGUGGGGAGCCCUGAGCUGGGAUGUUCCUGGAAGAGGUCGGGGAGCGGGGGGAGAGGCAUUCCAGGCUGGAGGCCUGGAAACGUUUGGAAGCUUUGCUAACCUUGGAGACCAUGUCAGGAAAGAAGCGUACCCAGGCCGUCUGCGGUGUGCCCACCCCGAUCCCCAUCAGUGCCCCACGCACUCGAGCUCUUCCUCGGCGUCUGCAGCCUCUUCAUCCGCGCGGAGAGGCGGAGGUCUCCCAGAAACAGAGUCCGACUGUGGCACCCCAGAGCGUCCAAUGCGAGCUCAGGCCUUUCUCGCAAGUCUGGAGUUUUCUUAACCAGUUGAGGCCGCCUUCGCUGUACUCACUCCCUGCCUCCCACCCCAUCUUCUGCCACCCGACCUCCAUCUUUGAUGGUUAGCGCCUUCAGCCCUCAACAGCUUCGCACAACCAACCCCUAGAAGCCGUGGAGUCAGACCGGCCAGGGUGGGACCUAGGUUUUAACUCGGGUUCUGGCUACACACGCUGCGCCUCCAUACAGUUUGUCCCAGAUUUGGCAGCAGGCCGGCUACCUUCAGGAACUCUUUGCUUUGGCUUCUGUCUGUUCCUGUCUGUUGGGCAAGUUUCUAGCUACCCCACUGAGAGAACCAUAGAACAAGGACCCUGGCAUGGCAUACAGACAAGGAAUGUUUGCUGAAUUAAUGGAGCUGGUGCCUUGCAGCUUCCCUUUUGUUCCUUGAAGUUGCCCUUGCUCUCCUCCACAUCAGCUCCCUCUCCUCCUCAGCUACUUAUUCCCCACCCUGGCUUCUUCUAGUCUCAGUCCCCAAGUACUUGCUGAAUCCUGUAUGGACAGCCUAAGCCUCCAUUUCUGACAAUUCCUGUGGCCCCACUCCAUUUGUUUUUUAGACUUCUCCCUCCUUUUUGUCCCCAUCCCCCAAGUUAUAAAACUAUAAUGCAA
rnacentral:antisense_RNA from 1 species